rnacentral:rRNA from 1 species
AGUUUGAUCCUGGCUUAGAGUGAGACGCUGGCGGCAUGCUCUUACACAUGCGAAGUCGAAUAACACACACAAGUGCGUUGCACCUAGUGCCGAGUGGCGAGCGGGUGAGUAAUACAUCGGGUGCAUGUCCUGUGAGGGGGAUACCCCGGCGAAAGCCGGAUUAAUGGGAACAUGGGUUUUAUGCAGGAAAGGGGGGUCCCUUCGGGCCUCGGUUGUUGAGAGUAUUCCUAGGUCAGAUAUGCUAGUUGGUGGGGUAAAGGCCUUGCAAGGGUAAGAUCUGUACAAGGUGUGAGAGGGUAACCAGCCACACAGGGUGUCAGACCCGGCCCAGACUCAUACGGGAGCCAGCAUUGGGGAAUUUUGAACAAUGGGGGAAAUCCUACUCCAGCAAAAACCCUUGUGUAAAGAAGCCCUUUGGGUUAUAAAGCCCUUUUGUCCGGAAACAUAUUCUUGUCUGUAAGACAGUAAGGGGAUGGCGCUUCCGGAAGAAUAACCGCCGACUUACUUCGCACCAGCAGCGGUGGUAAUUAGGGGGGGGGGAUUGUCAAUAAUAAUUAGUGGGAAUAAAGUGUUAGCAGGUGGUUUGCUUAGGUCGAUGUGAAAUCCCCGGGCUCCCCCUGGGAACUGCAUUGGUGGCCGGCAGGCUAGAGUAUGGCAGAGGGGGGAAUACUUCCACGUGCAGCAGUGAAAUGCGUAGACAGGAGGAGCAAUGACGAUGGAGAAGGCAGCCUCGUGGGCCAAUACUGACGCUCAUGGCACGGAACAGCGUGGCGAGCAAACAGUAGAUUAGAUACCCUAGGUAGUCCACUGCCCUAAACGAUGUCGACUAGUUGUUGGGGAUUCAUUUCCUUAUUAACGGACCUAACGCGUGAAGUUGACCGCCUGGGGAGUACGGCCGCAAGAUUAAAACUCAAAGGAAUUGACGGGGACCCCCCCAAGCGGCGGAUGAUGUGGAUUAUUUCUUUGCUGCGCCAAAAACCUUCCCUCCCCUUGACGUGGUGGGAAUCCUCCUGAGAGGGGGGAGUGCUCGAAAGAGAACCGGGAUCCAGGGGCUGCAUGGCUUGUCUCAGCUCGUGUCGUGAGAUGUUGGGUUAAGUCCCCCAACCAGCGCAACCCUUGUCUUUAUGUGCUACGCAAGAACACUCUAGGAAUACUGCCAGAGACCAACCGGAAGAAGGUGGGAAUGAGGGCACGACCUCAUGGCCUUUAUGGGUUGGGCUUCUGACCUCAUACAAUGGUCCGAACACAGGGUUGCCGACCCGCGAGGGGGAGCUAAUCCCCUAAAACCAAUCGUACUCCGGAUUGCACUCUGCAACUCGAGUGCAUGAAGCUGGAAUCGCUAGUAAUCGCGGAUCAGCAUGCCGCGGUGAAUACGUUCCCGGGUCUUGUACACACUUCCCGUCACACCAUGGGAGUGGGUUUUACCAGAAGUGGCUAGUCUAACCGCAAGGAGGACGUGUCACCACGAGCCGAUUCAUGACUGACGUGAAGUCG